rnacentral:rRNA from 1 species
GACGCUUGGCGGCCGAGAGCGAGUGUUGCGAGACAACAAAAAGCUCGACCUCAAAUCAGGUAGGAAUACCCGCUGAACUUAAGCAUAUCAAUAAGCGGAGGAAAAGAAACCAACAGGGAUUGCCUCAGUAGCGGCGAGUGAAGCGGCAAGAGCUCAGAUUUGAAAUCGUGCUUUGCGGCACGAGUUGUAGAUUGCAGGUUGGAGUCUGUGUGGAAGGCGGUGUCCAAGUCCCUUGGAACAGGGCGCCCAGGAGGGUGAGAGCCCCGUGGGAUGCCGGCGGAAGCAGUGAGGCCCUUCUGACGAGUCGAGUUGUUUGGGAAUGCAGCUCCAAGCGGGUGGUAAAUUCCAUCUAAGGCUAAAUACUGGCGAGAGACCGAUAGCGAACAAGUACUGUGAAGGAAAGAUGAAAAGCACUUUGAAAAGAGAGUGAAACAGCACGUGAAAUUGUUGAAAGGGAAGGGUAUUGCGCCCGACAUGGGGAUUGCGCACCGCUGCCUCUCGUGGGCGGCGCUCUGGGCUUUCCCUGGGCCAGCAUCGGUUCUUGCUGCAGGAGAAGGGGUUCUGGAACGUGGCUCUUCGGAGUGUUAUAGCCAGGGCCAGAUGCUGCGUGCGGGGACCGAGGACUGCGGCCGUGUAGGUCACGGAUGCUGGCAGAACGCCAACACC